rnacentral:sRNA from 1 species
UAAGAUUACGAAUACCUAGGAUCCAAAA